AUCAAGCGACGACAGCCAGGUCUCCAAAGAAUCAUGACAACAACUCUGUAGAAUCAUGUGAGCCCCUAAUUAAAUUCUAUCUCUUUGUUCAACUAAUUAGCAUUAUAUUUGUGGCGUUUGGACAUAGGGUCUGAAUUGGAUGGACACUUUGAUCUUGAAGCAUCUGGGAAGGACUCAGUACAAAACUGCAGAGUUACCAAACCAUAAUCAAAAUCUGAGAAUAACCAGGUGAUCAGCAAAGUUGGGGCAAGCCUUCUCCGUGACACUAAACCUAGGUCUGAAAUGACACAUGUCGGACAUGAAUACAGGAUACUGGAGUAAACCAGGUUGUACCCAUCCUCUUUCCCCCCGCCUCAUGUGAAUAUGCUUAGCUAAGUUGAAGUGUCGAUGGAUCGCAAUACAUGAGAAAAACACACAUGCAUCUAAAUCACAUUGCUUUCCAAAAUACAAUUCAGAUUGCCUCUUAUGAGAAGUGAAUUUCAAUUUUAUUAGAAGUGUAUGAAAUUAAUGUAUCAUUUGUUCAACUGUAAUUUUCUCUGGUCAUUUAUAUUAUUUCAGGUGGGCUGAUGGAGCUACAAGAUAACACACAUCUGAAAACAGCACAAAUCAUACUCCAACCAGGUCUAUCCAUACAAGCUUUGCAUCAUCAGGAGAGUGGAGGCACAGAGCGCAACGAAGAGCAUUGCAUGAGCUGACUAAUAAUGUGGUGAUUGAACAUUGCCUAAACAAACACGACCAUUGAUGCAAGAAUGAUUGAAAUAUUAAUGUAUGGUAUUAUAAUUUUCUUUCUUUGGAACUUAACAAUAGAUCAGUUCUAAAAGACUAUUGUUUAAGGAGUGCUUUGCUAAUUGUGUUGGUCUUUCUAUUGACACUCAGUCUA